rnacentral:rRNA from 1 species
AUACGUAGGUGGCAAGCGUUAUCCGGAUUUACUGGGUGUAAAGGGCGUGUAGGCGGGACUGUAAGUCAGAUGUGAAAACUAUGGGCUCAACCCAUAGCCUGCAUUUGAAACUGUCGUUCUUGAGUGUCGGAGAGGCAAUCGGAAUUCCGUGUGUAGCGGUGAAAUGCGUAAAUAUACGGAGGAACACCUGUGGCGAAGGCGGAUUGCUGGACGAUGACGGACGCUGAGGCGCGAAAGCGUGGGGAGCAAACAGGAUUAGAUCCCCUGGUAGUCCACGCCGUAAACGAUGGAUACUAGGUGUGGGGGGUCUGACCCCCUCCGUGCCGCAGCUAACGCAAUAAGUAUCCCACCUGGGGAGUACGAUCGCAAGGUUGAAACUCAAAUGAAUUGACGGG